rnacentral:rRNA from 1 species
GAACGCUGGCGGCAGGCUUAACACAUGCAAGUCGAACGGUAACAGAAAAUAGCUUGCUAUUUUGCUGACGAGUGGCGGACGGGUGAGUAAUGCUUGGGAAUUUACCUUGUUGUGGGGGACAACAGUUGGAAACGACUGCUAAUACCGCAUAAUCUCUUCGGAGCAAAGGUGGCCUCUAUUUAUAUGCUAUCGCAACAAGAUGAGCCCAAGUGGGAUUAGCUAGUUGGUAAGGUAAUGGCUUACCAAGGCGACGAUCCCUAGCUGGUCUUAGAGGAUGACCAGCCACACUGGAACUGAGACACGGUCCAGACUCCUACGGGAGGCAGCAGUGGGGAAUAUUGCACAAUGGGGGGAAACCCUGAUGCAGCCAUGCCGCGUGUGUGAAGAAGGCUUUCGGGUUGUAAAGCACUUUCAGCGAGGAGGAAAGGGUGUUGCUUAAUACGUAACAUCUGUGACGUUACUCGCAGAAGAAGCACCGGCUAACUCCGUG